AUUCUCUUCAAGCUCUCAUUUUGGACUGCGAUGGAGUCAUUCUAGAAUCCGAACACUUGCACCGCCAAGCUUACAACGAUGCUUUCUCUCACUUCAAUGUUCGUUGCCCUCCUUCUUCACAGCCUCUUAACUGGGAACCUGAAUUUUAUGAUGUGCUCCAGAACCGGAUUGGCGGUGGCAAACCCAAGAUGAGAUGGUUUUUGUUUUUAAUAUUUCUGGGUUUUUUUUAUUUUUCUUAUUUUUGGUUGUCGUUGAGAAUUUUUUUUGGUGUUUUUGAAGGUACUUCAAGGAACAUGGAUGGCCAUCUUCUACCAUAUUUGAAACACCGCCUGAGGGUGAUGCGGAGCGAGCCAAGUUAAUUGACACUCUUC
rnacentral:lncRNA from 1 species